GCUAGCAGGUGGGGCUGUGUAAUGAGGGUGAUAAUGGGAGAGCCCUGACGGGGUACAAGAGAGGUUUUAACUUUUUGUGAUGCUGCUAGGUUUUCCUAAGGAGGAUGAGAGACUAGUCUGGCUCACUCAAGAAGCAACCUCUUCAUUGAUCCUUUUGGACAAGGGGAGGAAGGAGAACUACUUGGAAAAUUAGUUUUCUCAUCAGAGGAUUCCUCAUGAACAGAAUUCAUUUGCUUCAGAUUUUUCCGGUUUCAAGAUCCAACCUCCCAGCCUGAGGGUGCAACUGCCUAAAAAAGGACAGGAACUAUUGUAAUGAAGCAUAUACUGAAUCUUAAUGCAAGAGUAUCUUAAGUAUGAGGAAAAUGCAUUUCUGAGCCUCCAGUACCCACAAAUGUGUGAUCCAUCACCUCUCACAUGCAACAACAGUGGUCGAAGAGCAGAUAAAAGGCUCUUGUUCCUGCCUGGGUGCUAUCCCUCCCGGAGCUGUUGGAAAUGCAAACCCAUGCCAUUGGGGGUUUUGACUGGGCUGGCUAGCAGAAGACCUUAGAGAUAUCUUCUGUUGAGACCUGGAUCUCAAUGUCUCAUGAGGCAUCCCUAUCAAUGAAUUUGAGUGCUUGUAGGUCACCAGAGCCUUGCUCUUCCCCUGGAGUCUGCUCCUGCUUGCUGUGAUCUAUUUAUCUAUACCAGCUUAGGGUCUAAAGCUGGAAAAAAUGUGAAGAGUCCUCCUGUCUUGCUUUAGCCAGGGUUGUGAAAUUCCAUGAAGUGGCUUUCCGUCAUCAUGCUGACCCUCCUGGCCACCCCGUGUUAAUCCUCACCCUGACGCAGUCUCCCCUGGUCUGGGAAAUGUCCUUCUCUAAGAUACAGAAGAAUUGCUCAUCUUGCUGGUUGUUUUGCUUACAUUUUCUGUAACAGCCAAAAUGAAGAACUAUUCUAUUUAAUAGCAGCUGCAUUAAUAAUAUGGGAGAUGCCGUGUUUGAAAGAUGCAUUUUUUUUUUCCCUAUGGAGUUUACAUGGAUCAACAAACAGUUUCAAAAUCUACUCCUUGCCAUUGCAAGCUCUUUUUUCCUCCUGCUGCUACUUUAACCUCACCAGCAAAACCUCCCAUGACCAUAUAAAGUAUAAUUAGGGGAUGCUACUAGAAAAGUAGACACCUUGGGGGGGAAAAACAAAUAAAAAACCCCCACAAUAAAGUAAGAUGAGCUCCCUCUUCCAUCCCAGUUUUAAAAACUGUGUCCAUACCUUGCAGAAUCUUGUCCAAGGAAUAAGGCCAUCCUGAGAUCCUCCGUUUGUUGGCCCUGAACACAAUAAAUACGACUUCAGUCAUGUUUCAUAAGUUACUUAAUAAGGCUAAAAGUAUUUAGAGAACCAAGUUCUGAGUGUUUAUUUGGAAGUCAGCUGCUGGACUAAGAAAGACAAGGAAGGGCAGGCUGCUGUGCUUUCACAGCUACUGCAGGGGACGUUGCAAAGUUCCCCUCUGGGAGUUUUUAGGAUAAUCAAACCUGUGUGAGCAGCCCUGGGAUGGGAACCAAUCCAUCCUGACACUUUCUGUGCUGUGCUGCACCAAACACUUGCCAGCUGCAAAAUGCUUCCAGGAAGGAAACUGAAUCCCUGCACAGUUCUUGCCAGCACAACGAGAAGACUACAGCCCACAAGCUCCUCUGCAGGCUCAGCAGACCCUGCAGCAUCUCUCUGAGAUAAAGAACUUUCUUACCUUGACUCUGGUGACUUGCAGGCUUUUGUCCCAGAAACUCUUGACUCCUAGGUCUACCCCAACCACAGACCCAUCUUUAUUCCUGUUGCAAUUGUUUCCCUCAGGCUUCUUUUUAUAACCAGUGUUUCAUAACCAUACCCAAACCACAAAGAAAAGUCAUAUGCUGGGCCUACAG